GACGGGGGGAUGCAAGUGUUAUCCGGAAUCACUGGGCGUAAAGCGUCUGCAGGUGGUUUCCUAAGUCCACUGUUAAACCUUGAGGCUCAACCUCAAAUCUGCAUUGGAAACUAGGAGACUUGAGUAUAGUAGGGGGUAGAGGGAAUUUCCAGUGGAGCGGUGAAAUGCGUAGAUAUUGGAAAGAACACCGAUGGCGAAGGCACUCUACUGGGCUAUUACUGACAUUCAGAGACGAAAGCUAGGGGGAGCAAAUGGG
rnacentral:rRNA from 1 species